GACGAACGCUGGCGGCGUGCCUAACACAUGCAAGUCGAACGAAGAAUGUUUUUCGGAAUAUUCUUAGUGGCGGACGGGUGAGUAACGCGUGAACAAUCUGCCCCGUACAAAGGGAUAGCCUCGGGAAACCGGGAUUAAAACCAUAUAACACUUAACUGCCGCAUGGUAGUGAAGUCAAAUCGAUUAAGAGGUAUGGGAUGAGUUCGCGUCUGAUUAGCUAGUUGGUGAGGUAAGGGCUCACCAAGGCGACGAUCAGUAGCCGGCCUGAGAGGGUGAACGGCCACACUGGAACUGAGACACGGUCCAGACUCCUACGGGAGGCAGCAGUGGGGAAUAUUGCACAAUGGAGGGAACUCUGAUGCAGCGACGCCGCGUGAGUGAAGAAGGUCUUCGGAUCGUAAAACUCUGUCCUUGGUGAAGAAAAGGACGGUAAGCCAAGGAGGAAGCCCCGGCUAACUACGUG
rnacentral:rRNA from 1 species